GAUGAACGCUGGCGGCGUGCCUAAUACAUGCAAGUCGAGCGAAUGGAUUAAGAGCUUGCUCUUAUGAAGUUAGCGGCGGACGGGUGAGUAACACGUGGGUAACCUGCCCAUAAGACUGGGAUAACUCCGGGAAACCGGGGCUAAUACCGGAUAACAUUUUGAACCGCAUGGUUCGAAAUUGAAAGGCGGCUUCGGCUGUCACUUAUGGAUGGACCCGCGUCGCAUUAGCUAGUUGGUGAGGUAACGGCUCACCAAGGCAACGAUGCGUAGCCGACCAGGGAUGGUGAUCGGCCACACUGAGCCGGAGACACGGCCCAGACUCCUAGGGGAGGCAGCAGUAGGGAAUCUUCCGCAAUGGACGAAAGUCUGACGGAGCAACGCCGCGUGAGUGAUGAAGGCUUUCGGGUCGUAAAACUCUGUUGUUAGGGAAGAACAAGUGCUAGUUGAAUAAGCUGGCACCUUGACGGUACCUAACCAGAAAGCCACGGCUAACUACGUGCCAGCCGCCGCGGUAA
rnacentral:rRNA from 1 species